ensembl:misc_RNA 7SK 7SK RNA
AUGUUUGUGGGUGAUCUGUCUGUGACAUCUGUCAUACCAUUGAUCACCAGGGUUGAUUCUGCUGAUCUAGCUGGCUAGGCAGGUGUCCCCUUCCUCCCUCACCUCUCCAUAUGCAUCCCUCCCAGAGCUGUGCACUUGGUCUAAGAGGAAAACCUUCCCCAAAUACAGGAGGACUGGUCUUUAGUCAAAAGUAUAAGAGUAGCUGCACUCUCCUGCUUGAACCUCCAAGCAAGCUCUCAAGGUCCUCUGUGCUUUUAAAGAGGUGUUGCCAAGGGCCUGCCUGCUUCCUAAGGCCAAAUUCCUCAUGGCAUAUUUGCUUCUCA